UCUUCCUCCAUCGUCAAAAAUGUUAAACCCUAGUUUUCAAAAAUGAUUUCCACUCAGCAAUGCUGCGUCGGAGACGCCACCACCUCCACUUCUUUCUCCCUCCAGCACGGCAGCGCCUCGUGCUCGACCAACGCUGAGCUCCCCGCCGACAAGCAUCUCGUGGUGAGGCGAAGCUUGUGUCGGAACGUCGCGAAGAAGCCUCGAUUACUCUCUCUCUCUCUCUCUCUAUUAUUUUCUCACUCGCCGCUUUCUCUUAUUGGUGAUUCCAACUCAGGCACUAUCUAAUGCUUGUAGAUCUGGCCAUCCUGGUAUUUGCGAAAUUCUCCAGAAAAUUGGUGGAACUGUACAGAAUUUGAUUGAUUCUCAAAGUCCAUGUUUGGAGAUUGAUUCAGCUACGUUUGACUUGAAUGGAAAUACUCUUAUUGGUGAAGUAAUUUCUCUUACCUUAUAGUCGAUUCAACCUCCUGAGCUACGAAGAGCUGCGAGAGCUCUAGCACCAGAUCAAGCUCUAGCUAAAUAAAGUCUGAGCUCGAAAAUUUCAGCUUAUUCAAGGGAAAGUGGAGAAUCUCAAGAGGAUAGUACAUACAUUAUUAUAUAUUAUAUAUAUAUAUAAACACACACACACACACACACAUCUUAGAGAUAACUAUUGUUGGAAAUGUUAUGAUUAUAGGAAGUGCUGAUGGAGAAGGAGAAUCAAGAAAUGUACUGCUGGUUUUAGUUGUUGUGCGCUGCAACUGCAAGAGAUCAAUCACAAGCUCGUUGUUCCGUCGACUUAAUUGCUUAUAUGGUAUUUAUUCAUAAGUGAACAAUUCCUAUAAUCUUAUGAACGAGGACUUUGGGAUCCAUCAUCGUUCAGCACACCUAUGAUCUCCUACAUGCUGAUCAUCUUUUUCUCAAGACUUGAAGAGAAACGCCUCCAUUACUAUGGAACGGAGGGAGUAUAUGGCUGAGUUAGCAAUUAUAAUAUGAUUUUUUCUCAAAGAUGGAAAAUGAUUUGCAAUGAUGCAAGAGAUGGUGAAGCAACUCAUGAUGCCCUCAAGUCAAGCCACACCUUUAGAUUAAUGUUUUUAUUUUGUAGAUUUUAUGUUUAUUAGUUAUAUGUUUGAGGUUUAUUUCAAUAUUAAGAUCAGAUAAAAUAAUAAAUAAAAUAAAAUAAAAUCCAAAAGCUAAAUUAGUGACGGAAAAUGACGUAACCAGUGAGUAAAAGGCAGCACAGAAUUAGUGACGGAUAAGCCGUCAGUAAUUAAUGAUGGCCUAAUCAGUCACUGAUGCGGGCUUAUGACCACAACCACCAGUAGGUUUUGUGACAUCAUAUUUCGUCUGUAUUGAUGUUGGUAAAUUUAACGACGCCCAAAUCUGUCACUAAAAUUUU